ACUCCCCUUAUUUGUAAGUCGCUCUGGAUAAGAGCGUCUGCUAAAUGACUUAAA
rfam:Salmo salar isolate Sally breed double haploid chromosome ssa09, whole genome shotgun sequence.